GGGUGUAUCAAAAAAAGCGCAACCUCGGAAUUUCCCAAGACAUCGACAUUGUUUUAAAGACAAAAGAUUUUAGGCGCCUGGUAAUUUAAAAUAGCAUAACUGUCAAAAUUACUGCACACGAGAGUGCAUAAAGCAAAAUUUAUGCAUUUAUUUAAUGCACAACAACAGUAAUAUGAUCUAUUAGCAAUUCGAUUUCAAUUCCCAGGGGCC